ACUUUAUCUGCCGCUCCAUCUACUGACCCAAUUUUAAUUAAUUUUUUAAUUAAAAAAAUUUAAAGAGAAAAUGGAGUGGGGAGGGGAGAGAGAGAGAGAGAGAGGUUUUUGGCAGAGUUUCACCAUGCCUUAAUCCACCUGCCCCAGACUCCUACUUACCCAAGAUCACAGGUGUGUGGCACCACACUUGGCUUGCUUUAGACUGCUAAAACUAUUUCCAAGAAGCUUGCAAAUGAGGUUGGUGCUACCGAUUUACAAACCACACUGGAGCAACAAGGGUUUAGAGUAAGCGAAGCCCUGGUUGGCGCAUCCCCCUCUGUAACUGCCUCCUUCCUAAGGACCAUGCCCCUCCCUCCCAGUACAGGGAGCAGGAGCCCUUGGUCACUUCUGAAUCUGUACACAGAGUGGUUUGUUUGGGGACCUGUGGUCCAGUAGGCUACAGUAAAGACUGUUGGCUGGAGGAAAAGUGGGCAGGUAAAAAGGUGCCAUGGGCUUGGAGAUUUUAUUGUUUGUUUUUUUCUCUGGUGUUCAAAAGGAGGGAGAACUCAUCUGCGGCCCUUGCAAGCAAUGUGGAAGAUAAAGAAAAGGAAGGGGCUUCAAAAGGAUGUGGACUGAGUUUGAGAUAAGACUGUUUGCUCUGUGGAUGAAUCAAGGAAAUUCUUUCAAAAGCAAAUGCACAUGUGCCAAGAAGAAGCAAGGAUGAAGAGAAAAGAAGUGUGGAGACAAGGUUCAUGGAGUUAAAGCAUUCUAAGGAAGUGGGUUUGUGUAAUAUGGACUAAGUUCUUGUCAGGAGACAGGAUUUCCCUAUGUCAUGAUCCUACUGUCUCAGCCUCCUGAGUAGAUGGGACUACAGGUGCACACCUUCACACCAAGCUUUUAGGGUGGACCAGGAAUCAAACCUGUACCUCUCUUGUGACCUGUCAAGUAGCAGCAUCCAUUAUCACACACUACAGCAGGUUCUGAGCAGAGGUGUCACUACCACAAGGGCCGGAAGCAGACACCACAGCAGUGCUCAGCUGGGUGGCAGGCCCCACUGAGUUUCAUCGGUGGGGAAGCCACCCAAAGCUGCCACAGCCAGUAGAUGUCACACAUGCAGCCUCGGGUCACAACACCGUCCCCAAAAUUCCCAGGAAACUCUCAGGGCACAGGCACGAAGAGGCUGACGUCAACUUACACUUCGGUUAUUUAAAACUUUUAGAAAUAAUUCCAGUGCCCUUUUUUGGUAGCAUGAUAAGUUGAUCUCUCCUGAACGUAAGUCAAUUUGCUUUAUGGGGUUUAUGUCAUAGAAAUGUACAUAGAU